rnacentral:rRNA from 1 species
GACGAACGCUGGCGGCGUGCUUAACACAUGCAAGUCGAACGGUAAGGCCCUUCGGGGUACACGAGUGGCGAACGGGUGAGUAACACGUGGGUGAUCUGCCCUGCACUUCGGGAUAAGCCUGGGAACCUGGGUCUAAUACCGGAUAGGACCACUGCCUGCAUGGGUGGUGGUGGAAAGCUUUUGCGGGGUGGGAUGGGCCCGCGGCCUAUCAGCUUGUUGGGGGGGUGAUGGCCUACCAAGGCGACGACGGGUCGCCGGCCUGAGAGGGUGACCGGCCACACUGGGACUGAGAUACGGCCCAGACUCCUACGGGAGGCAGCAGUGGGGAAUAUUGCACAAUGGGCGCAAGCCUGAUGCAGCGACGCCGCGUGAGGGAUGACGGCCUUCGGGUUGUAAACCCCUUUCAGCACCGACGAAGCGCAAGUGACGGUAGGUGCAGAAGAAGGACCGGCCAACUACGUGCCAGCCGCCGCCGUAA